GCUGUGCUGUUUAGAGCUCCCGAGCACACACCCUUCUGCGUCGUCCGAUCGAAAUCGCCGCAUCAGGUGCUGGGCGGUCGGGUCCAUGCCGCCCAAAGACCAAUUCCUCUCUCUUGUCUCACAAGCUCACCCCCACCCCCCACUGUGCACACCUGACACCUUCCUCCAUGCCCCGGCGAGAUCCGAUGCGCCCCGCCUCCGUCGACCUGGCCCUCGUGCUGGCCCGCCUCCACCGAGCCAACCCUGCGCCGGAGCUCUUCCUUCCCCGGCCUUCUUCCCCGCUGACGCACCCACACCCCGACCGGCAGCAAAGCAUCCCACCCGAGCGGACGCGCUCCUUGCCCACAGACUGGCGCCGACGCGGCCCCGCACCCAACUUCUCCCUCCCGUCGUCGUCCUACGUCCCGCCGCGUCGAUCCCUCGCCGGGUCGAUGCAUCCCACGGCUGGGACCUUCGAUCCCCGUCGGAUCUGGGCCGAAGGUUGCGGCUGCUUCGGCUGGCCCCUGCAAAUUCCAACCAUCGACGACGCCCCUGCUCGUUGUGGACUCGUGGACCUAUGAAUCCACAAGUCAACAUGUAGUGCCGGAGCAUGGGCUGCAUCGGCAAGGUCGACAAGGCCAUCAGGCCAUGGCCUUCGUGAGAACCUUCACAGAGGUGGAAAUGGCGGUGGGAGAUGUCGGCACUGGAGUCGUGGCCGUGGCGGGGAAGAUGAAGCGGGCGGAGCUAUGCCAGUGGCUCAAGAGGAAGACAAGGAAGGAUGUGAAGAUUUUUUGUCCUCGUCCACCGGCUGAGAAUCUUGUUAAGCAGAAUCGUGUCUACUCUGUUCUUGCCAGAAUGAUGAUACAAACACCAAUUAUAUGAACCUACAGAUGAAUCUACAGGUCCAAGGAGUACCUGUCCCGAUAGCCUACCUAGCCAUUGUUGCUUUGUUCCAUUUUCUCAUGGACAAGAUGGAUAUGUAAUGUCUGGUAGUCUGUAGUUGCCCUUUCGUCAAACUCGUCGAGCAAAGGCGGCAUUGUAUCUCUGAAUUUUGACAACAAGCAAUUUUUGGGAGGGCUCGAGGUGGAAGUUGUUUGACGGUGGGGCAUGAGUUGCCUUCUCGUGUAUAUGUUAUCUGAGAAACUGAUAAGUAGAGUGCACAAGUUGGAGUGCCUCGGGAAAAUGCCAAAAAUUGCCCAACUUUGAGGAGACAGUUUCUACACAUGCUGGACCCCCAAACAAAACCUUUCCAAGCUAUCAAAGUAAUGCCCAAGUAAGGAAACCUCUACCAGCAAUCACCUACUCUCCAGGACGCAGUACAAAACAUUGCAGGAUAUUAGAGAAAUGAGGGAAAACGCAAUGGGAGAAAAGUUUGCACCCACGAUGAACAAAGGUCCUUUCGAUGGGGUGGAUUCACUGCCCCCGUCCUCCUUUUGCAUGUGGGAGAAGAAAAGAAGAAGAGUGUGGGGACAGGUGGGGAGAGAAGAAGAAAGGAGGGAGGGGCCAAUGGGCGCAGGGGCAGUUGAGAGGAGAGAAGCUGGGUGGAAGGGGGGACAUGGGAGACGGUCGUCUCUUUACUUUCCAAAUCUGUAUUGAGGGGGGACCGAAACAUGCCUAUAGGGGAGGCUGCCAGGGGCACUAGCGGGCAAACGAUUGCCCGCUAGACGCGUCCAGCCGCGGAGAAUUUUGUCGGCACAUGUGCACCCGGCUUGUGCGCCCGUGCUUGUCCUCUCACGAGGACGGGUGGGGCAGUGUUGCUUCUAGUCCCGCACGUCGGUUGGAUUGGGUUAGAGCAUGGUAUUUAGAUUAUGUAUUUCCUUGGUCAACCACUACUGCGGCAUCGGUCCUCAGGGCAUGUACAAUGGUUGAUAACAUAGUCUUAUCUUAGGUCUUACAUGUAAUCAGGGGCGAAGCUACGUAUAGCUACCCGGUGUCACUGGCACCGGGUGCAAUUUGCAUGCACUUAUCAGCUUAGUGUGUAGGCCAUUCAAUUGUUUGAUAUGUAGGCAUGUGUUCUUCUAUAUGGACACCGGGUAAUUUUAAGUCUGGAUUCGCCCCUGCAUGUAAUUAAGAGAUGACCAAAAAAAGAUGAGCUUUAUCUUCAUAACUAGUUAUUUCUAAAAACAUGGUGACACAUAUUGUGCUAAGAUAUCAUCUCUUGUCUUAUCUUAAAUAAGAGAAGACAAGACUUUUUUUAUGAGUUCUCUCUCCUCCAUUUCAUCAUUUAUCCUACAUGACACUUCUAAGAUAGUGCCAUUGUACAUACCCUCAUGCGCUGCCCGCGUCGUGGGGAGUUGUUGCGUCAGCUGCGGACGGGUGGGCCGGCGCAUGUGCACCCGGCUGGUGCGCACAUUUUUCUGCCGACACGAUGACGUGUGGCCCCGUGCUUCUCCUGGUCCCGAUUGUCGGUUGCGGUGGCUGCGCUGCCUGGGGAUAUAGGAGAGAGAAGAGGAGACGGCAUGGGCGGCUUGUCCCUUCCUUUCCGCUACUGAGAACGUGCGCGCAGAAAGGACCCAGCCGCGCCGUCCGCUCCUUCGCGCAAGCCCCCCUCCCCCACACACAGCCGCCGCACCCUUCUUCCCGUCCUCCACCCCGCCUGGGCGCCGCCUCCUCCUCUCCCUCUUCCGCGGCUCGCCCAGCCACCGUUCCCAGCCCCGCUGCUUCGUCGUUUGCUCCUCCACUGACGGCAGUUUAGGUAAGACGAAGAUGAGCGUCCGAUCUACGCCCUCGCCAGGUUGCCUCCAUUAGUGAGGAGCGGCCGAUCCACGUGUGUGCCGUCGCUGCAGGGAUAGCGAAUGUCAGCGAGAUAGGCCGUCGUUGGAGCACGCAGCCGUGCCCCCCUCCGCUUCUCCUGGCGGCACCUCUCUACGUGAGCUCCUUCCUUCAAUCCCUUGCGUUGCCUCUCUUCCUGCUCCUUCCCCUCAUCCUUCUCAUCCCAUAUAUUUCCAUUUGUUUCUGCAAUUAUACUCCAUGGUGCUUGCACGCCCAUGGAUCUGGAAGUAGACAUUUUAGUGUUUGUACUAUUCCAUUAUCUGUUUUUUUUCAAAGGUUGAUGUACUAACUACAUAUGUUUUGCUUUCAUUUACCUCAUCUUUUUCAUAGGCUUCCGAAGUAUUUCUAUUGAAAGCUGGACAAUUUCACUGUAGAAAUGGUUUUAUCUAUACACUUCCACUAUAACUUAUCUUCAUGUGUUCAGUGAGAAACCUGGUUCUGAAAUUUGACCAUGAAAUUUUACAUAAUGCAGCGGAGUCCAUUCUUCUUGGCUUUCAACGCUGCCUGUUCUUGCUGUGAACUAUUGUUAUAUUACGCUCUGCAGUCGCUCUGCAGAUGGGAGGAAACAAUGAGGACAGGGCAGUUUUUAUGCAGAUGUUGAUGUUUUUGGCUGGAAUCAACACCCUUCUAAAGAGUUUCUUUGGUUACCUAAUUGCCUGCAGUGAUUGGUGGAUCACACACCUUUGUUCUACCUACCAUUUUGAUCAUACUUGUGGGACGCUAUGCAGACGAAUCAGAUCCACACGUAUUAUAUGUUGAAAAGAAGGGUAAUUCUACUUGCCUCCCAGUAAUCUUUUCCUGCAUGUAAACUGAUGAAUCACCUGGAUUUCGUUUUUGAUGGAAUUCCCCAAAAUCUUGCAUGGAGCAAAAGGUGCUUUGAUCGUUGCUUCUGUACUUGGUGAUCUUCUUUACUGUUUAAUAGUUGCUUCAUGUUUCUAUAGGAUACCCCCAUGCUACAUGGCAACCAUAGUGAGCAUGUCAAAAGUUUAGCAUGAUUAUUAUAAUUCUCUUCUCUGUAAAUUAUUAUAUGAAGUUUGCGUUUUGCUUGGUUAACUCUUCUGAAGCUCACAUGCUUUUCUUAAAGCUUGGUGCUGACACUCAUAAAUCUGUUGUAGGCUCACUAUAUAAGAUAAUGAAUCUGUGUUCUAUAGACUAUCGUGGUAAAGAGGUUUUUAUCAGGUUAUUCAUUCCCAUGCAUUGAACCUAUGGUUCUAACUUUUGCCCAUGAUAAAGAAAAUGGGGUUUACCGCUUUUAAUCAACAUCUAAUUAAACCAACAAAACAUCUACAGUUCCGCCAGCAUAACAUUUUUUUUGCUGGUGGACAUACCAAAUUACUCAUAUGUAUCAUAUUAUGUUGCUUCCCAUAUUGUUUUCUCCCAGGAAUGACGAGGCAUUCAGGUUCUCUUUUUAGCUUUCCUACACAGGAACAUAUUGCAAAAUUAAUAUACAUAACGUUGUUCCACCUACAGGUCUAUCUUAUAUCUACAGGUAUAUACAUGCAUUCUUUGUUCUUUUUCUUCAGUGAUCUACUGAUCUUCAUGAUUUAGUUUAGUGGUAGAGUUAGCAAAAUCUGUCAUGGAGCAGAUUGUGCUUGACUUCACGUGUGUAUGAUGUAAUAUGAAUUAAUGGUUUCUUUGUGGUUGACUCGGUUGUGUGCCUUUUGUCUGAAUCAAUAGAGAAAAAUCUGAAUAUAUACCUGAAUGUGGUGGUUUCACACAUUCUGAACGAAGCUACCAAUGAGUAUACCUUGCUUCUGAAAUCAUGAGCUUUUUCCUUCUAUGAAAAGUGAUAAAGUUACAACAUAGUUUGCUCAAAGGCGUGCAUAACUGCAGAUUGAGCAAGGCACAAUCUGAGAAGAAAAUAAAAUAAAAUUAGAAACAGUGUGUGCAUCAUGUGUAUGUUUGCUCACGAGAUGUGUAUAUGUUGGCUGAGCGACGCUGUUGGGAGUGCCGGUCGUGGCGCCUCGCCUCGGGAGCCCGUCGACGUGGUGUGCUCCUGCGUCCCCGCCUUGGCCGCCUCGCGUUGGACAGGAGGGGAUAAGUCAAUCCCUAAUUAAGAUAUCCAAUGAAACUGGCAACAUCAUUAUGGAAUGGAAAUGAUUGGAUGACAAAUUGUAUAGAUUUAGUAUCGUAUCAUUUAUUUGUGACUGCAUGAUCUUAAUUGCGUGUCUCUGAAUAUUUUAUGCCCUUGCUCUUGGGACAUUAGACUGAUGUGGUGUUGCUUUAUAAAUAAAUGACAUGCUUACUUACGGGUUUGAUUUAGGUGUGUAGGCUAAGGCGAAAAAAGAAUCAUAAUCUCAGGUUUGGGCAUGCACAUGGCCACUGAUCACAAAAUAAGUAGGCACAGGUGCAGUAUUGUGAUUUUUAAGCAAGAGAGUGAUUUUCAGCAAGAGAAAGAGAAGUACAGUUAAUUGUUCAUAUUUUAAGCUGCACUUGAACCUUGUCCUAAUAAGUACUCCCUGUGUUUCUAAAUAUAAGUCUUUAUAGAGAUUUCAAUAGAAACUACAUAUGGAUGUAUAUAGACGUAGUUUGGAGUGUAGACUCACUCAUUUUGCUCUGUGUGUAGUCCAUAUUGUAAUAUCUAAAAAUACUUAUAUUUAGGAACGGUGGGAGUAGAACUGUUAUGAUGUUGCUCAAUUAUAAGUGCCUCACUUAAAUGCUUGGUUAGGUCGAGUGUAUAGCAAUGAGAAGUCUAGCUGAACAAUGCUAGAAAUAACAUUAAUGUGUUAUAAGCUUCAGAUAAGCCAAAUAUUUUGUGACAAGCUUUGGAAAUUACCUGGGCUGGGAAACAGCAAUAUGUAGCUAUCCUGUGUUGCAUGCAGGCAAUGCUUGUGUAUAGCUAUGCCACAUCUGCUAUCUGACACUCAGCCCCAGUUUUUAUAACAAUUAGAAUUUGUGAUUCUAAUCUGAUUCAUUGUGUUACAGGAUCCUUUGCAUAUUGGCCUCUUCUUACCGGCAUCUGGUAAAAGUUGUGAUCGAGGAGAAGAUAAUGACGGUCUUAUAACUCUGGCAAGCCCGGCUGACAGUCCUUCUUGCUCUCCUCUUGGUAUAACAUUCAAUGGUAGUGAUAGCUUUGGGCGUGACUCUGCACCCUUUCAUGUAAUUGUGUUCCUUGAACGAUAUUUAUAAUUGUGAUACUCAGUUUAUGAGAGACAAAUGGACCAAUGGUUAAUGAUCCUGUGUUGAGAAAAAAAAUGGAAUGUGCAUUGAGUGGCUUUAGUUUUC